rnacentral:rRNA from 1 species
ACUAGGGAUCGGGCGACCUCAAUUAUGAUGUUUCGCUCGGCACCUUUCGAGAAAUCAAAGUCCUUUGGUUCUGGGGGGAGUAUGGUCCCAAGGCUGAAACUUAAAGGAAUUGACGGAAGGGCACCACCAGGUUUGGAGCCUNCGGCUUAAUUUGACUCAACACGGGGAAACUCACCAGGUUCAGACAUAACUAGGAUUGACAGAUUGAUAGCUCCUUUCAGGAUUUAUGG